AGCGCGAUUUUGCAGCGCGGGAUUCGAUCGCAGCCGCGGGGCGUGCAGCGGGCGCGGGACCCGCGUGGCGCUGAGGGGCGCUGAGGGGCGCUGUGGGCCGCCAGGAGUGAAGCCGGCUGUGCUUCCCCAGGCGGCACAGAUUGCAUCUGCAAAGGCAGUUUUGUCAGUAUAUUUCAUACGUGCAAAGCAAACACUUGAUGUUGGGGCUGGUUCCUGGGCCGAGCUGCCUCACAACCCGGGCCGGGCUCUGCCCUGUGAGCUGCCAGCUUUCAGAAGUGUAAUCACCCAGCGUAAGAGAAUGGCUGUCCCGGGGACAUCACUGCAGCAUGUCUGACGAUGUAACAUACCUUCAGGGAUGUGGUGAGCAGAGGUACCAGACAGCUCUCCUGCUGCAACUGACGUUGCUCCAGACCCUGCAGAAACAAGAGAGGUAGCUGUCUGCUGCGAGUUCCUACUGCACACACGAGCACUGUGGUCUGGG
rnacentral:lncRNA from 1 species